AUUAUGUGAUGCCAAGUGAAGAGAGACGCAACUCCAGGCUCUGGUGCAGCUACAGUGCCAGCCCAAUCUUGAAGCAGGGAGAAGCAGGAUAAGAUAUUUCAGAAUGAUAUCUGUCAGCCAUCUGCCAGCAGCCUGAUUCACAUUCCCCAGAUCACCACCAGCAAGAACUCCCACCGCCACCCUAGGUAACCAUCUGCAGCUGACUAGAGUGGCUAAAUAGGAAACAGCUUUCUCCAAGUGCAUUGUGGAUGUACGAAGCAACAAGUACUUCUGCAGUGAAGACAUGCAGGUGGGGGCGGAGAGGAGGGCCCAAAAUGUCCCAGGACCCACGCCAGCCUUGCUACAGCCCUGCACCCA